UGGUUUAACUCUCUUCUGGUUAAUGAAAUAAAACCAAUGUGCUCUAGCAUUCCAUGAACAUGACAAGAAUAUCUUUAGUUAGAAACCAAGAAGCAAUAUGCUUUCAGUUGCAUCGAUCUAUUUACAGGUCCGACUAUCAAUUAUUGAAACAAGAGGAUCCAUGAAAGAUACCGGUAUACAACUUAUAUGACAGUGGAGAAGCUGAUGAGCGAAGAUCUUUAUGUAUAUGAGAUCCUGACCAUCAAUUCCAUGCCAGGUGAAACACCUUGAGUACUCCUCUAGUUGGCUAAGAUUCUUGAUCUUCCUCAGUCAGCAAAUAUUUCAACCCUCUUGCUAAGGGACGAGUUAUUUUCAUGCGCUGCUGUCCUUACUGCUGUAAUUUGUGUGAAGGUACGCCCUUUGAUCUUCAUCCUACAUAGCAUGAAAAAGAAUUAACAGCAGACAAAAGACUGAUGCCUUGAAACUACAAAAGCGAAAAGAUUGACCGUCAUGUUUCAUAUAAAAGGGAUAGCACUAAAGUGAUAAAGAAGACCGAAUUUCGUCUCACCCCUUCCAUAUCCUCAUCAGACGCAUUAUUUAUUCUUGAGUACAAGGUCACUUCAUCAAUUUCACUUACGGUCUUCAUAUUUUCCUGUUAUUACGUCAUGAGUAAUUAAGGAUUAGAUGUUUUGGACCAAGGGUAAGCUUAAAGCGAUAAAAUAUUCAUUAAAGAGCAAUCAUACUAGCUCAAGCUUUAGCUUCUCCAUUUUCUCUUGCAGGUCUGAAAUAUGGUGCUUUAGUCCCUGAAAAUUUUUAAACAGAGUUUUGUAAUCAAUAUUAAUAUAUUCAAUAACGAGCCUGAAAAAAAUGAAAAGUCGAACUGUAAAAACGAGUAAAAGUCAUAAGAUCACCUCACGUCUCUGAAGUUCAAUCGAGCGGGCUAAUGCCUGCCUUUUUGUCAGAAGAUUUUUGGGCCUAAAUGCACUAGGGCGUUGGUAAUUCUUUCCACGAUAGACUAUCACAGCAUAGCCCUUGGCAGUUUUGUCUACGGAAACUAACACCCCACCACUCUCAGCCUCAAGAGAAACUGCAAUAUGCUUGACUUGUGAAAAUGUUUUUCGGUCUACAAGUAUCUUUACCAACUCUCGAUACUUCCAAUGUAAGUGCAUAUUUUCUAUAGUGCCAUCAAAAACUUCUCGCCUCCCUACAGUCAAAAGAUAACAAUAAGCCCAGUUCUGUACCCCAUUAAUCUAAUAUAUUACACGGGAUGAAAUUCUUACCUAGAAGCAAAUAAGGUUUCAUGCUCAGACCAAUCUUACGAAACAAAAACCUCUCCUCGUCACUUAAGGUUUCUAAAUCAGUUGGUAGCUCCGAGGGUUCCAGACUUCCCUGUAGUUUCAUUAAAGCCUUCUCAGCCUUUCUGAUCUUCCCGCUUGCCUGCAGGCACAUUAGAGUAUAUGGUAGUAAAAAAUGUAAGUUCUAAACAAGUUCUUUCAAGAAAAUGCUUAAAUAUCACAGCUCACAAGGGCUAGCUUCCUCUCAAGAAACUUGACCAAAGAAGCACGUCUAGCUAUAGCCGAAUCUCUCAUCAUUUUCUCUAUUUCUGCACUGCUUGGCUCUUUUCCCCAUCGUGAGGUAGCGGCUGUUGUCUCAGCAAGGGUCCCUGCAACUAAAGGCUGCUUAGCUGCUUCGGAAUAUGAAAUAAUAGAUGUCGCUGCUUUCUGCCUUGCUCGUUCUUCGUCGUCCUGUUGGACUGCUACACGUUUCUCUACUUCUACCAGUGCAUAUGAAAUACCAGGUGGCAAGAAGUCAUUACCCCUGUAAAAGACAAUAUAGUCCUUGUUCCUGGAAAGUAAUGUUCCUCCAGUUAAUAUCUGCAUUAAUGACAUAGGAUUAAUCAAUGCCGAGAACGCUGUUAAGCUAAAUAAUGAUGUUUUGGGAUUAUGUUGGGAAAAAGUGACAUUCAUUCAAAUAUAUAAUUUUCACAAUUAUUAGUUUUUUGAACAUUGUUGUUUGGUUCUUUCUUUGGAAGGUUAUUUUUGAAAUGUAGGCGGGGCAGUUGGAUAAAAAUUAGUAAUUAACAUAACCCGAAAGCAACUAGUACAUGAUCUAUUUCAAACCUUAAGUUCUUCCGCCAUCCUUUCAUUCAAAGUAUUUUGUACACCGCGUUUGAUGGCUAUCUUUGCAAUAGCACUCUUCUUCCAUAACUUCACCAUGGCCAUAGCAAGACCUUGCAAUUCUCUGUUUCUUCCUAGAUCAUUAAGCAAAUAUAGCUAAUAAAAAACAAAAAUCUGAAUAUUAAAUAAAUUCACAUAUCAUGUUGAGCAUACCGAGGGCAAAAUGUGGAAGCAUUUUUCUGGCAGUUCUGCGAAAAUAUGUCAUUUCUUUGUUCCGUAAUGCUUGUCUAACCCCAUUGGGAAGUAGUCUAAAUGGGGGUCUAUAUCCUGGAACGACAGCAGGCAGCAAGUCUGCAUCAACAGGCAGCGGUUCCGGACCUGACCAAUCUAUGAACCUUGGACCAAGCUCGUCUAAAAGAAGGUUGAGCUCACUUAGAUCCAUUAGCUCCUCUUCAGAUAGACCAUUCAAAUACUUAGAAGUAUAAUUUUGAGAUGAUUCUGCAGCUCCAGAUAACAGUUUCACGUUACCGCAUUGAGUAACAUCAUUAACAGAAUCUGACGAAGAUCUAGCCUCAAUAUCAGCUUGAAUACGUUUACUAUAUGCUUGCACACAAUCAAGUUGGUAAGACAUUCCUCUGUAUAGAACUACCGAACUUCCUGAUCUCCAUAUAACCAAACCUCCAGUUCUAGCCUAACAAUUAAACAGCACAAUAUAUGGAAGAAGAAAUACACUUCAUCAUGAAUUCUUGUAAACCGUGAUACAAAUAAAUCGUAAAAUUGAAAUUUGAAGAGAAACUACAAUGGUAAGAAUGUAAUGAACAAAGAAAUAGUUUAAUGCUCACGAAAUUAGCAAUUCAACUUGAAGGCAGCAUUUACCCACUAGUACAAUAAACAUUUAUUACAAUUGGCAGUUAAAUCAUUCUUCUCUACUAAAAAACUUAAGAUAAGUGGACACUUACCUCAAGAAUCUCAUGUGUCCUCUUCAUGUUCUUUGAAGGAGGCCCUUCAAAUUUCAAUUUUACGAUUUCCUCGUCCUUCCAUUUCGCGUGGAUUGCAUCGGUUAAUGCUUGUGUUAUUCCCGCUGCCCCGACUUUCAUUCUCUCUACCAUCCUCAAUGCCACAUUUCUAAGCCUCUUCAGUUCAGGUUCCGGUAUCAAUUUUUCUGCCAACUCUGUAUUACUCUUCCUUAACUUCUCCUCUUUCACAGGGUCCUCAUUAGUUCCUCUCUGCCAUGGUAAUCUCAUAGAAUCACUAACAUCAUCUGAUCCUUUUUUACUGCUGAAUUCUUGAGAAAUGCUCCGUGAAUCCUCCACAAAAAAGGCAUCUUCACUCUCGUCUUCAAUCAAAAUCUCAUAUUUUUCUGAUAAUCCUAUAGGGAUAGUAUCAACCUUGCCACUUGUUUCAUCACAAUUGCAAUCUAAUUUAACUCCCUUUAUCAAAUCCCCAGAGUCUUCAACAACACUACCAAAAGCUUCAUCAUUUUUACAAUGCUCAGAAAACCCAUCAAGGUUUUGCCCUCUAUGAUUACUUUCUUCUUGAAUUUUUUCUGUAGCUUGAGAAUCAGGCAAGUCCUUCCUUGGUUUAUUUCCAUGAACCCAAGGAGCUAAAAUCGACUUAUUUCUUGAACUAGAGCUCGCAGAGCUAUCCCCAGAAGUAUUGUCCUCACUUACUGUCACAGUAACGACACCCUCAGAUAACGGCAGCAGAUGUUCUUCAUAAUCCUGAAUCGAAUCAUCACUCUCUUGUUUAUGUUCUUCCCAAGGGAAUUUCUCUCUUAAAGAAGGGAUUUUGAGGGACCAUUUAUCUUGAAUUUUUUCAAUAAAGCUUGGCCUGGGUUUUCUCUUCUUCUUUACAGGGUUGGUUUCGUGUUGAACGGAUUUUGUGCAAGAAAUUUUCAAUUUUUGACCUCGAAAUCUGUUUGAACAAUGGGGUUGUGAGUGAAAUGUGAUCAAGUAGAAAGAUUGAGAAGAAUAUGAAGAUGAAGCAGAGAACAAAUUCGAAGGCAGGGGUGAAGGAGCCAUGGUGAUGAGGUUGAAGAAUCUCUGCGAGAACGAGCCUUAAAAAGAUGGCCUGAAAAUUUCUGACUAACCCAAAUUGCCAAUGAAAAUGGGUUUAGGAAUUUUACAUAAAUAGCAUUAAAUGUGGGAAACUAUGAUCGCUUGGCAUCUUAAUAGUUAAUAGAAUAGAACUAAUGAAUAGCUCAAGCACUUUACCUUAAAAAUUUUAAAUUAUCUAAUAGGGAUGGGAAAAUAUUUCGCGACCGCCCGAUAUUACAGUGUCCUAUCUCGAACAGAAGGAAAUUUCUACUUCAUUAGAAGAUCAUGGGAAUGAAGAACAUGGUCCCUGUCCCAAAUUUCUUAUACAUUCCUAAAUCUUAUAAUUUUAGAAAAUAUUAAAAAAAUAAUUAAACAACAUAUUAAAUGGAGAUAUUAUAAUUCACGCUCCUCUCUUCUUCUCUCGAUAAUCUUGUCAAAGCGGUCUCAUUUGCUUGACCUUAUACCUUCAAUUUUUUAUUUUUUAAGACAAUAUCAAACACACCUCUCGAACUUUUACGCGCAAUCACUUUUACUCAUACCUCAUAUAAGUUGGGUUUAUUAUCAAGUAAAGAAGAAAUUUUCUACAAUUCGUGCAGUUAUGGUUAAUUCGUUCAAAGUAAACUAUGUAAAUAUAAAUUGACAUAUAGUAAAUAGAAUUCGUUUGACGUUGUUUAAAUUUAACUAUAUGUAAUUUUUUAUUUUUUAAGACAAUAUCAAACACACCUCUCGAACUUUUACGCGCAAUCACUUUUACUCAUACCUCAUAUAAGUUGGGUUUAUUAUCAAGUAAAGAAGAAAUUUUCUACAAUUCGUGCAGUUAUGGUUAAUUCGUUCAAAGUAAACUAUGUAAAUAUAAAUUGACAUAUAGUAAAUAGAAUUCGUUUGACGUUGUUUAAAUUUAACUAUAUGUAUUUAGUUAUUUUGUUUAUAGGUAGGAUUACUUUUGUGAACAUUUAUGUUUAGACAUAUAUCAAAUUUAAUUUGACAAAUUAGUUAUUUACGAGUAUAAAUAAAUAUCAAAUAAUAAAAAAUGAUAUUAUGAUAUUCUUUUGAAAUAUUUUAAUGAUUAAUAUAUUAAAAUUCGACUGUAUAACAAUGUCAUCAUUAAAUAAUAAAUUCUGAGGGUAUGCAAUGAUUUAAUGAAUUAAUGUAUACUAUAUUUUAAUUAAAUUUUACUUGAAUUGAUUCAAAAUAAUAUGUUUAGUAGACAAAUAAGUGUACUUCAAGAUAUAUUUUUCUUCUAGGUGGAGGAGUUGUAUCUUCGAGAACUAGUAAGAAGUUAUAAUUGCAUCUACUACAAUGAAGGUAGAACUAAUUGGUUUCUAUAAAGCUACAACACUCACAUUAUUGUUGGGAAAUUUCAUCAAAGCGUUAAACGUUGUUGAUACUAUAGGGAAGCCUUUGAAGAUUUAUUGCGAUAGUUCGAUUGUACUUUUCUUUUCAAAAAAUAAUAAAAGUAGAAGUCGAAGUAAAAAUAUCACUAUAAAAUAUCUGGUUGUUAGAGAUCAUAAAAUGAAAAAUAAAGUGAUCAAUGAGCAUAUCAAGAAAGAUUUUGUGAUAGCAGAUCACGUGACUAAAGGCUUGUCAGAUAAAGUUCAUGAAUAGCUUGUUGAGAACAUGAGAUUUGCUUGCACUAUCAUGGUACUCUAAUUUUUUGUGUUUAAGAUUGUUUUUUCUAUGUUUUAAACGAUGUUAUUGGUGCAAAGUUUAUGAUCGAUAUUCAAUUGUGAUCCCCCCCCCCCCCCCCCCGGGGUCGUUAUCGACCUUAAGAAUGACUUUUCAACAAAUCUUACAUUUCAUAUUUCUAUAUACCGUGACUCUAAAAAAGAAACGAAGGCUAUUAACUAAUGGUUUAACUCUCUUCUGGUUAAUGAAAUAAAACCAAUGUGCUCUAGCAUUCUAUGAACAUGACAAGAAUAUCUUUAGUUAGAAACCAAGAAGCAAUAUGCUUUCAGUUGCAUCGAUCUAUUUACAGGUCCGACUAUCAAUUAUUGAAACAAGAGGAUCCAUGAAAGAUACCGGUAUACAACUUAUAUGACAGUGGAGAAGCUGAUGAGCGAAGAUCUUUAUGUAUAUGAGAUCCUGACCAUCAAUUCCAUGCCAGGUGAAACACCUUGAGUACUCCUCUAGUUGGCUAAGAUUCUUGAUCUUCCUCAGUCAGCAAAUAUUUCAACCCUCUUGCUAAGGGACGAGUUAUUUUCAUGCGCUGCUGUCCUUACUGCUGUAAUUUGUGUGAAGGUACGCCCUUUGAUCUUC
rnacentral:lncRNA from 1 species